rnacentral:miRNA from 1 species
UCCCUCCCGGCCGUCAAGAUUGUACAGUCUUGACGGCCAGGAGGGAUUCCUCUCGGCCAUCAAGACUGUACAGUCUUGGUUGUUUGGCCACCAAGACUGUGUGUCUCAAUGGCCAGGAGGGAUUCCUCCUGGCCAUGGAGACUGUACCCCUCCUGGCCAGGAGGGA